GCACACUUGGAGAAGGGCUAUCAGAUUGGACUUGUUUUGAUUAAACAAAUGCCGGUAAUUGAGUCAGUUCAACAUAUUUUGUAGUCACCUUAUAAUUCUUAGAAGCAUUUCCUAAUCAUUGUAUGUUGUAGGAUUUUUAUGCCAAGCUAAACAUGCCAAUACUAGAAGAAAUCGCCUCCAUUUUGCGAGAAGCAAAUACAUGUGCACAAUCAAGUGAGCAGGUUAGUCAGUCAUCACAUGCUGAAAAUGGUGGUUAUGCCAAUGGAAAUGGCAUUGCAGACAAUGGUUCUCCAUGCAGGAGCCAUGACAAUGACGCUUCUGGUAGUGGCAAUCGUGACAAUGAAGAUGACCCUAGUCUGGAAUGAAAUGGGGAUGGGUACAACAUACAUCUUUUGUCAAGGCUAACCUUUUGUGUAAUAGUUAGCAACAUGAAGUUAGCAAGAGAGUGAAAUGGCCUCUCCAUUGGCUAACAGUACAUCUGCUGAACUUUUGGGAAGGGUACAGCGUACAUCUUUUGUGAAGGCUAACCUUUUGUGUAAUAGUUAGCAACAUGAAGUUAGCAGGAGAGUGAAAUGGCCUCUCCAUUGGCUAGCAGUACAUCUGCUGAACUUCCUGCUUUUGUGUAGUUGACAUCAUGUGUACUCGACUCGUGACUGUGAUUGUAACUUGCUCCUUGGGUACAAGUGUUGGAGCUGGACAUGCUGGAUAUGCAUGCAUGUUGCUGUGUAAAGUCCUUGCUAAACAAGGUGGACACUUGGAUGACUUAAUUUAGAUGUGAUCUGCUAGUGCCAAUUGAAAUGUGGCGACUUAUAUGUGAUUCAUGUGUGCUGUGACAUGUUGGCUGUAUAAAUGUUGGGGUGUGAACAUCUGAAUUAAAUUGGUAGUGUAUUUUAUAAACAAA